rnacentral:rRNA from 1 species
AGAGUAGGCGGCAUGGUAAGUAAGAUGUGAAAGCCUGGGGCUUAACCCCAGGAUUGCAUUUUAAACUAUCAAGCUAGAGUACAGGAGAGGUAAGUGGAAUUCCUAGUGUAGCGGUGAAAUGCGUAGAUAUUAGGAAGAACACCAGUGGCGAAGGCGACUUACUGGACUGAAACUGACGCUGAGGCUCGAAAGCGUGGGGAGCAAACA